GACGAACGCUGGCGGCGUGCCUCAGACAUGCAAGCCGAACGCGAAAGUCCCCUUCGGGGGACAAGUAGAGUGGCGCACGGGUGAGUAACACGUAGGUAAUCUACCUUCGGAUGGGGAAUAACAACCGGAAACGGUUGCUAAUACCGCAUAAUGCAGCGGCACCUAAUGGUGACAGUUGUUAAAGCGGGGGAUCGAAAGACCCCGCGUCUGAAGAGGAGCCUGCGGCGGAUUAGCUAGUUGGAAGGUAAUGGCUUACCAAGGCGACGAUCCGUAGCCGGCCUGAGAGGGCGGUCGGCCACACUGACACUGACAUACGGGUCAGACUCCUACGGGAGGCAGCAGUCGGGAAUUUUGGGCAAUGGGCGAAAGCCUGACCCAGCAACGCCGCCGUGAAGGAU
rnacentral:rRNA from 1 species